rnacentral:rRNA from 1 species
AGGACGAACGCUGGCGGCGUGCUUAACACAUGCAAGUCGAACGGUAAGGCCCUUCGGGGUGCACGAGUGGCGAACGGGUGAGUAACACGUGGGUGAUCUGCCCUGCACUUCGGGAUAAGCUUGGGAAACUGGGUCUAAUACCGGAUAUGACUACGAAUCGCAUGGUUUGUGGUGGAAAGCUUUUGCGGUGUGGGAUGGGCCCGCGGCCUAUCAGCUUGUUGGUGGGGUGAUGGCCUACCAAGGCGACG